rnacentral:rRNA from 1 species
AGUGAACGCUGGCGGCAGGCCUAAUACAUGCAAGUCGAACGGCAGCACAGUGGAGCUUGCUCCAUGGGUGGCGAGUGGCGGACGGGUGAGGAAUACAUGGGAAUCUGCCCAGUCGUGGGGAUAACGUAUGGAAACGUACGCUAAUACCGCAUGCGCCCUUCGGGGGAAAGUCGGGGACCGCAAGGCCUGACGCGAUUGGAUGAGCCCAUGUUCGAUUAGCUAGUUGGCGGGGUAACGGCCCACCAAGGCGACGAUCGAUAGCUGGUCUGAGAGGAUGAUCAGCCACACUGGAACUGAGACACGGUCCAGACUCCUACGGGAGGCAGCAGUAGGGAAUAUUGGACAAUGGGCGCAAGCCUGAUCCAGCCAUGCCGCGUGAGUGAAGAA